rnacentral:rRNA from 1 species
AAACGCGUAGGACGUUGAAGGGUGUAGGUAAGUCCGCACCCCGAGUCCGAAACGUGAUGGCGGUGCCUUAGAGCCACAAGUGAUUGAGCCAUGCCGCCUAGAAAAGCUUCUAAGCGUUGAUAUUUGAGUGACCGUACCGCAAACCGACACUGGUAGGUGGGUAGAAUAUACCAAGGGGAGCGAGAGAACCCUUGUUAAGGAAUUAGGCAAAUUUCCCCCGUACGUUCGCAAUAAGGGGGGCCUCUGGUGGUGAGCUUAAUCGCAAAGCUGCUGGAGGCCGCAGAGAAAUGGCUCUUCCAACUGUUUAACAAAAACACAGGUCUCUGCUAAGUCGAAAGACGAGGUAUAGGGGCUGACGCCUGCCCAGUGCUGGAAGGUUAAGGGGAGAGGUUAGGCGCAAGCCGAAGCUUUGAGCCGAAGCCCCAGUGAACGGCGGCCGUAACUAUAACGGUCCUAAGGUAGCGAAAUUCCUUGUCGGGUAAGUUCCGACCCGCACGAAUGGCGUAAUGAGAGGAGCACUGUCUCAACGAGGGACUCGGCGAACAUUGAAGGACGUGUGAAGAUACACGUGACCCGCAGCGGGACAAAAAGACCCCGUGAAGCUUUACUACAACUUGCCAUUGAGUUAGGACUAAACCUGUGUAGUAUAGGUGGGAGGCUUUGAAGCUGGGACGCCAGUCUCGGUGGAGCCACCGUUGAAAUACCACCCUGGUUUAUUCUUGGCUCUAACCUGUCGCCGUUAUCCGGCAUGGGAACAGUGGCUGGUGGGUAGUUUGACUGGGCGGUCGCCUCCGAAAGCGUAACAGAGGCGCCCAAAGGUUCCCUCAGGCUGAAUGGAAACCAGCCGUUGAGUGUAAAGGCACAAGGGAGCUUGACUGCAAGACCAACAAGUCGCGCAGGGACGAAAGUCGGGCUUAGUGAUCCCACGGUUCAGAGUGGAAUGGCCGUGGCUUACCGGAUAAAAGCUACUCCGUGGAUAACAGGGUAGUCUGGUCCAAGAGUUCAUAUCGACGACCAGGUUCGCCACCUCGAUGUCGGCUCAUCACAUCCUGGGGCUGGAUAAGGUCCCAAGGGUUGGGCUGUUCGCCCAUUAAAGUGGUACGUGAGCUGGGUUCAGACCGUCGUGAGACAGGUCGGUCUCUAUCCGCUGUGGGCGUAAGGGAUUUGAGAGAAGCUGCCCCUAGUACGAGAGGACCGGGGUGGACGGACCUCUAGUGUGCCAGUUGUUCUGCCAAGAGCAUUGCUGGGUAGCUACGUCCGGCAGAGAUAACCGCUGAAAGCAUCUAAGUGGGAAACUCGUCUCAAGAUUAGAUCCCUCAUCCGUAUGGAGUAAGACCGCUAGAAGACUACUAGUUUGAUAGGCGGCAGGUGUAAGCGCAGUAAUGUGUUCAGCUUAGCCGUACUAAUGGUCGAGGGCUUACGUU